UACCAGACUCCUACGGGAGGCAGCAGUGGGGAAUAUUGCACAAUGGGGGAAACCCUGAUGCAGCGACACCGCGUGAGCGAUGAAGUAUUUCGGUAUGUAAAGCUCUAUCAGCAGGGAAGAAAAUGACGGUACCUGACUAAGAAGCCCCGGCUAACUACGUGCCAGCAGCCGCGGUAAUACGUAGGGGGCAAGCGUUAUCCGGAUUUACUGGGUGUAAAGGGAGCGUAGACGGCUGUGCAAGCCAGAUGUGAAAGCCCGGGGCUCAACCCCGGGACUGCAUUUGGAACUGUGUGGCUGGAGUGUCGGAGAGGCAGGCGGAAUUCCUAGUGUAGUGGUGAAAUGCGUAGAUAUUAGGAGGAACACCAGUGGCGAAGGCGGCCUGCUGGACGAUGACUGACGUUGAGGCUCGAAAGCGUGGGGAGCAAACAGGAUUAGAUACCCCGGUACCG
rnacentral:rRNA from 1 species